rnacentral:rRNA from 1 species
GCGUUGAAAAGCUCGGGGAUGACUUGUGGGUAGCGGUGAAAUUCCAAUCGAGCCCGGAGAUAGCUGGUUCUCCCCGAAAUAGCUUUAGGGGUAGCCUCAAGGUGAGAGAUACGGAGGUAGAGCACCGAAUGUCCUAGUGGGUAUUGCACCUACCGAAGACUAUCAAACUCCGAAUGCCGUCAUCUUAUACUUGGGAGUCAGACUGUGGGUGAUAAGAUUCAUAGUCGAAAGGGCAACAGCCCAGAUCGUCAGAUAAGGUCCCUAAAUGUAAGUUAAGUGGUAAAGGAUGCGGGAUUGCACAGACAACCAGGAUGUUGGCUUAGAAGCAGCCACUCAUUCAAAGAGUGCGUAAUAGCUCACUGGUCGAGUGAUCCUGCGCCGAUGAUUUCCGGGGCUAAAACUUACUACCCAAGCUACGGCAUCAGUAAUGAUGAGUAGG